rnacentral:lncRNA from 1 species
AAACCUACUCUGGCUAAAGGAGUGUUUUUUCCCCGCCCCGUGGAGACUGGCAGCAUUAUCUCCCUUUUGCAGACCUGACUUAAGUUCAAACCUGAGUCGUCAGGGUGAGCCUGGGAACAUCUUUUCUGCACUUAAUACAGGUUGAUGACAUUACAGCAGAAUUCUACCAAUGACAGAGGAAACAGAGGAAACAGGAGGCCACUCACUUCCAAGGGAGACCUGGCUGCUCUGCAGGCCUAAGUGAGGUCACAUUUUUCUUCUUUGCAUGCAUUUUUAAAAAUUUCGUACCAGAGAUUGUGAAUGUUACAUUGUUGAGAGUCUGGAUUUUUUUUUUUCCCCUUUAAAUAGUGUUGAAUUUUGUUUUGCCUUCCUGUUAAAAUUACUUUCAGAAGAUUAGCCCUGAGCUGACACUUGCACCAGUCUUCCUCUCCUUUGUACGUGGGAUGCUUCCACAGCAUGGCCAAUGAGUGGAGUAGGUCCGCACCUGGGAUCUGAUCCUGAGAACCUGGGCCGCUGAAGCAGAUUGUGCGGAACUUGAACAACUCAGCCUUGGGGCUGGCCCCUUGAUAAACUUUUAAUCAUUUAAUUUAAUUGAGUAAAGAAAGAAAGGAAGAAAGAAAAAAAAUUGACAGACAUCAUAAAACUUAAAAGGCAAUUUGGGGAAAUGCGGAAGCCUUGGUGAGUGGGAAUCCAGCUGUUGGACCCAUAAAAGCCUCCAUUCCUGCCACCAAGGCUACUUUGUUUAUGUGCCCACUGUGUCUGCUCUGGAGUUGUCAACGCCAGAGGCCGACUGUUAUCAACCAGCUGAGUCAUUUUGUUUACUUGGUUGCCUCUUCUGUAGUGGAGUCUCUCUGAUAUGCAUUAACAUGUUGUUAUGGACUGAAUUGUGUUCCCCCAAAAUUCAUAUGUUGGAGCCCUAACCUGCACUACCACAGAAUGUGACUAUUUGGAGAUACGGGCUUUAAAGUGGUGAUUAAGGUUACAACGAGGCUGUUAGGGUGGGCCCUAAUCCAAGCUGACUGGCAUCCUUAUAAGAAGAGGAAAUUCGGACACACAGACACCAGAGAUGUGUACACACAGAGGAAAGGCCACAUGAGGACCUACCAAGAAGGCGGCCAUCUACAAGCCAAGGAGAGAGGAAACCAAACAUUGAGAAACCUUGAUCUUGGACUUCCAGCCCCCAGACUGUGAGAAAAUAAAUGUCUGUUGUUUAAGCAGCCAGCCUGUGGCAUUUUGUUAUGGCAGCCCAGCAAACUCAUACACAUG